UUUAACCCAUAGAGGGUGUUGAGGCCUGUAAGAACUAAUUAAGCUAACUAGGUUAGCAAAAUGGUAAAUUUUUGUUUAUCGAUAAAAUGCGAGUACGUCUAUAAAAAAAUAGAAGGAAUAUUGGGGAACCACCCCCAUUUAAUAAAAUAGAUAAACCCACCGAUAGCGAAAGUACCGUAAGGGAAGAUUGAAAGAGAACAGAAGGUAGAUUAUCCGAUCUGAUUGAAAACAUAAAUAUUUUAAGAAGGAAGCAGUUAUCGCUAUUGCGAAAUCGUACCUUGUGUAUAAUGGAUCAACAAGUUAUAUUUGAUAGCAAGCAUAAGUUAAUAAAUGUAUGCUAAGUGAAAGCAAAAGCCUGUAAAUAUGGUUUAGUUUGUAGCAUAAAAACUACAAAACAGUUAUCGUGUAUAGACCCGAAGCCGAGUGAUCUAAUUAAGGGCAGGCCAUCGGGGGCUGAACCUGUAUAUGUUGCAAAAUAUUAGGAUGAUCUUUAAUUAGGGGUGAAAGGCCAAUCAAACUUGGGGAUAUCUGGUUCUCCGCGAAAUUUAUGUACGUAGAGCAUAGGUGAAAAAAUUAAUAGUGGUAGAGUACUUUCUACUUGAGGGGGGCACUAAGCUUUACCGAGUUUAGAAAAACUACGAAUACUAUAAAAAUAUUUUAUUCUAUAGUGAGACAUUUAAUGCUAAGGUUGAGUGUCAAGAGGGAAACAGCCCAGACUACACACUAAGGUCCUAAAAAGUAUACAAGUGAUGAAGGAGAGCAGUAACGUGGACAUCUAAAAGGUAGGCUUAGAAGUAGCCAUCCUAUUGUGAAAGUGUAACAAAUCAUUGGAUGACGUUAGUAAAUUUCCCAAAAUGUUCGGGGCUGUACAUACUUACCGAAGUGGUAGGAAACUUAAGCUAUAACUUAAGUUUCGGUAGUGGAGUAUUUCAUUUUUUAAUAGGAAACUAUAACAGUUUAAUUAUCGUAAGGUUUAAAAUGAAAGUAAGAAUGUUGGUACAAGUAGCGUUAAACUUUAGUCACCUAAAACCCAAGGUUUCUGCCGUUCAGUAAUUCUGCGGUAGGUUAUACGGUAACUAAGGGGUAAACACAAAAUGUGGUAACUUGAUGUAAUGUAUUGAUGUAUUUAAUAUAUAGGUAUUUGGAAUUCGUAAUGCUUUAGGAUGGUCUUUGCUGGUUAGUGGAGUAUUAUUGUUUUAUUUUUUUUAAAAAAUAAUCUUUAAUGUUUAGAGACUUCUUGUUGGACACAGGCGUCAGGGAAAUAUUUUUCAAAUAAUAAACCGUACCGAAAACCGACACAGGUGGGUUAGUUAUAGAGUACUAAGGUGCAUUGAGGUAAGUAUAUUGAAGGAACUAGGCAAAAUGGCCUUGUAACUUAGGGAUAAGGGGUAGUUGUAAGUUGCUUCUCAGUUAGAUGUGGGUAAGCGCUAGAAUUUAAAGUGAAUUGAGGGGGGCGACUGUUUACUAAAAACACAGGACUUUGCGAAUUUGAAAAAAGAGGUAUUAGGUCUGAGGCCUGCCCGGUGCCGGUAAGUGAAUAGGGAGCGUGUUAAGCGAAGAAUGGAAUCUCCGGUAAACGGCGGCUGUAACUAUGACGGUCCUAAGGUAGCGUAAUUCCCUGUCGGGUAAGUUCCGACGCGCAUGAAUGGCAUAACGACCUCCUUGCUGUCUCCAGUAUAUUCUCAGCGAAAAUGAAUUUUUUGUGAAGAUGCGAAAUAUUGUCGGCUAGACGGAAAGACCCCAUGCACCUUUACUGUGAUAUUACAUUAUUCUACAAUAAAUUAUGUGAAGAAUAGGUAGGAGGCUAUAAUCAAGAAUGCUAGUUUUUGGUUUUUUUUUGGCUAACAGUGUGAUACUACCCUUAAUUUACUGUAGCGUUAACCUUUAAAAAUAGAGGAACCGUGUAUUUGAGACAGUUUGACUGGGGCGGUCGCCUCCAAAAUAGUAUCGGGGGUGUGUA
rnacentral:rRNA from 1 species